CCUACGGGGGGCAGCAGUGGGGAAUAUUGCGCAAUGGGCGAAAGCCUGACGCAGUGACGCCGCGUGAGGGAUGAAGGUCUUCGGAUCGUAAACCUCUGUCAGCAGGGAAGAACGGUCACUGUGCUAAUCAGCAGUGAAUUGACGGUACCUGCAAAGGAAGCACCGGCUAACUCCGUGCCAGCAGCCGCGGUAAUACGGAGGGUGCGAGCGUUAAUCGGAAUUACUGGGCGUAAAGCGCUCGUAGGCGGUAUGUCAAGUCAAGGGUGAAAUCCCCGCGCUCAACGUGGGAACUGCCUUUGAAACUGGCAAACUGGAGUGUGUGAGAGGAGAGUGGAAUUCCAGGUGUAGGAGUGAAAUCCGUAGAUAUCUGGAGGAACAUCAGUGGCGAAGGCGACUAUCUGGAACAUAACUGACGCUGAGGAGCGAAAGCGUGGGUAGCAAACAGGAUUAGAUACCCUAGUAGUC
rnacentral:rRNA from 1 species